rnacentral:tRNA from 1 species
UGGGGUUUUGGCUCAGAGGAAGAGCACUUGCCUAGCCUGCAUGAGGCACUGGGUUCAAUCCUCAGCACCACAU